UUUUAGAAAGGAUAAUUAUUAUUGCAAUUGUUGUUUUUAAAAAGUAAAAAACUAAAUAGCGCGCGCGUAGCGCGCGCCUGUGUUGUUCUAGUAUGAAAAAAUAUGCGCAACGAUACUUAACGACAUCGAUAGUUGUCGGUAAGUGAUUACGGAAUAGCGAUCCACGAGACCGAACUAAGUUUGAUUUUGCCUCCAAAAGUGAGGCAAAAAUCUGUUAGAAAUGUAAUUGUGUUUGCUGGAUUAUUUAUAAAUCUAUUAUUUAACUAUACAUAUUUCAUUUUUCUGACAUCAUUGAACUGAUCUAUAACUUAAAUAUGUAUUCGUAAACAUAAUUAAAAUAUUCAUCAUGAAUCAUCACAAAAUGUUAGUCCACGUACGAUCUUCGAGGUCAAGCAACGUCAACGGCGGUUAACAAUUGAAUGGGCGACCGUUUUUUCAAUUGUAGAAAUAAGCUAUAAUAGCUUAACUAAGAUACGACGACUGUAGCUUAAUUGAUUGAAACAUGUAUAGUCUACUCUCCUAAAUUAUCGUAGAAAUUAAGCGAUUCUAGACUGCAUUGUACUCAUUGGGUAUGGUCUGAGUGGUCGCCAGAUUUGUGUAAGCACAAUUGCAGUGGAAGAUUUGUGCAAUAAAUAUUGCAGAAAUCUUUGAGCAACGAUUACAUUUGAAAUGAUCACGGACAUUGAAACAUUGCAGAAAUGUUGCAGAAACGGUCAUGAAAUAUUUCUGUGAUGUUGCAGUAAAAGUGUAAUAUUUCAAAUAAAAUGUUUUAGAAAUAUUACAUGCUGAGUGAGUUAAUUCCAUGUCACCGGUGCAGAAUUUAUGCCACUUUCCCAGAAGUUCUUCUCCAAUGCAUCUUAGUAGAUACGGUCUUUUAUUCUUAUUCUAUAAUCAUCUUAUUGAUUCUUCCAAACUUUAUUUCUAUAUAAACCAUUAAUCGAUCUUGCAGAGGCGGUUUUGGACAAAGAGUAGCAACUAGAUCAUAUAACAACAUGGCAUAUAACAGAUUGGCAUACGACGGAUAUUGAAGUACGUUUUGUAACUCAUGACGAUCCUGCGCUCGCUGGACAACAAUAUAAGCUGCAGUCAUCUGAGGAAUUUUUAACGCAUGGUACUGUGACCCUUCAUUAGGUCGGAAAUCCAGAAGGGGCCUUUUAAUCUGAGGAAUUUCAGUAAAUGAUUGUGUAUCGUUUCUGAUUUAGUUAAUAUAUUGCAAAAUCAAAUUAUAUAUGCGAUAUUUUAUAUGCAUCUUUUUGAUUUCAUUUUUUUCUAAGAAUGAUACAUAUUUAUUUGUUAAGGCGGUUAUGGUGAUAUAUACAUUUAUCUACCUCCUGAAGAUCGAGUUGUAAACCUAAUAUGUAAUCAACUAGGGUCUGUGGUACCGUCACGUGACAAAAUCGAGUUAAUGAUUCUAGGUGAAGACCGUGAAGUUGUGGCUUCUGGAAAAUUUAUACUUCUUUCAUCAUUUUUUUACUUUUGUUGAAUAAAUAUCGUAAGAAUAAUUGUUUAAAUAAAAAAUUAAGUUAAUAUUUCACUUAA